GCAGCGCAGGAAGUUACGCUCCCUGCCGCAGAGAGAGAGGAAGGGGAAGGAGGCCUCGUAGCGCCCGCUCUGGUUAGGUCUCAGACGGGAGAAGAAGGUGACCAGGAACUGCAGGUCUGUGGGAACAAAGGGCGCGACUGUACACGCUCGGCCCGAGCUCCCUGCGACCUCGCCAAGGCUGGAGCCAAGUUGCGCAGUGACCUGCAAGGAGGCCACAUCCUUCCACACCGGAAACAGGUCACAUAGACGGUCCAGCGCCUGGUGCUUUGGGUUCCGGCGGUAGCACGUGUUCGGCGGGGCGGGGCAGCCCCGCCCCGGGGAGGAGCCACAGGGUGGACCCCGCCCCCACCCCGCCCUUCCCUGCGUCGAAGUAACCGAGGCACAGGCUGUGAGUGUGCAUUUGAACUUUAUUCACACCGAGCGCUGUCACCUCUGUCCACACGUCGGAGGGAGCGCCUGCGGACGCCGAAGAGGUCCAGGAUCCGCCCCAGAGGGCUACGGGCCUCGGCAAGGCGGGACUUUUGUUUUUAAUAAAUAAAAACAACUCUAAAAAUAUAUA